GGGUGAGUGAUGUCUGGGAAACUGCCUGAUGGAGGGGGAUAACUACUGGAAACGGUAGCUAAUACCGCAUAACGUCGCAAGACCAAAGAGGGGGACCUUCGGGCCUCUUGCCAUCAGAUGUGCCCAGAUGGGAUUAGCUAGUAGGUGGGGUAACGGCUCACCUAGGCGACGAUCCCUAGCUGGUCUGAGAGGAUGACCAGCCACACUGGAACUGAGACACGGUCCAG
rnacentral:rRNA from 1 species